rnacentral:misc_RNA from 1 species
GAAAUGCGAUAAGUAAUGUGAAUUGCAGAAUUCAGUGAAUCAUCGAAUCUUUGAACGCACAUUUCGCCCCCUGGUAUUCCGGGGGGCAUGCCUGUUCGAGCGUCAUUUCACCACUCAAGCCUCGCUUGGUAUUGGGCGACGCGGUCCGCCGCGCGCCUCAAAUCGACCGGCUGGGUCUUCCGUCCCCUCAGCGUUGUGGAAACUAUUCGCUAAAGGGUGCCGCGGGAGGUCACGCCGCAAAACAACCCCAUUUCUAAGGUUGACCUCGGAUCAGGUAGGGAUACCCGCUGAACUUAAGC